rnacentral:piRNA from 1 species
UCCAAAGGAAAUCUUACGGGGUGAAUGAGU